UGAGUAGGAUAAUUCCAUUCUGAAGUCAUUCUUCUCCAUGUCAAACAUCUCACACAGGUUUGGACUCUGUUGUGGGUUAGUGUGAUUUCCAUGUAAUUUCUCAUGUCUUCUGUGGUUUUCCUGGGAAUCUAACAUCAUUAAUCUUCUUUAUAUUAAAGGCUAUAAAUUAUUUUCCAUCUGAAAAAAGAGUUUUAUUCAGUGAUCUUUAUAAUCUUGUCAUGUAAAACAUAUCCAAAAUUUAUACAACCACCUAUUAUUGUUGGAGAAUUAAAAGAAAUUUCCACCACUGCUUUUCUUAAUUACUUCAUACUAUAGCUAAAAAGAGAAAUCAAAUAAAACAAUAAAUCCCUGAAAAAUAAAUUAAUUAUAAAUGUGACAACUGAAAUGAGUAACUGAGUGAUAAGUUGCAAUCAUCAAAAUUUAUUAAACUACUUUAGGGUGUAUCCAGAAAAAACAUGAGCCACAGGCGCAUCUUUGUUUUUCCACAUAGGUUUUCAGGAGAUUUAGUAUUUAUACAUUUCUUGAAAGGAGCAGGAGGGAUGAAUAUAGGACAAGAGGCAUGGAGGUGGUCAGGUGAACACUACAUUUUAUGUAAGAUGUGU
rnacentral:lncRNA from 1 species